rnacentral:pre_miRNA from 1 species
AUGUAGGGCAAUCUGUCUUUAUGUAGGAGUAAAUUAUUCUUUAAAAGAAAAAGACUCCUAGAUAGUUUUCCUUUUAAGCCAAGUGUCUUGU